AGGACGAACGCUGGCGGCGUGCUUAACACACGCAAGUCGAGCGGAAAGGCCCUUCGGGGUACUCGAGCGGCGAACGGGUGAGUAACACGUGAGUAAUCUGCCCCUAGCUCUGGGAUAGCUCCGGGAAACCGGGAUUAAUACCAGAUAUGACCACUUUAGACAUCUGCUGUGGUGGAAAGAAUUUCGGCUAGGGAUGAGCUCGCGGCCUAUCAGCUUGUUGGUGGGGUAAUGGCCUACCAAGGCGACGACGGGU
rnacentral:rRNA from 1 species